rnacentral:rRNA from 1 species
AGUGAACGCUGGCGGUAGGCCUAACACAUGCAAGUCGAACGGCAGCACAGUAAGAGCUUGCUCUUACGGGUGGCGAGUGGCGGACGGGUGAGGAAUACAUCGGAAUCUACUUUUUCGUGGGGGAUAACGUAGGGAAACUUACGCUAAUACCGCAUACGACCUACGGGUGAAAGCAGGGGAUCUUCGGACCUUGCGCGAUUGAAUGAGCCGAUGUCGGAUUAGCUAGUUGGCGGGGUAAAGGCCCACCACGGCGACGAUCCGUAGCUGGUCUGAGAGGAUGAUCAGCCACACUGGAACUGAGACACGGUCCAGACUCCUACGGGAGGCAGCAGGGGGGAAUAUUGGACAAUGGGCGCAAGCCUGAUCCAGCCAUACCGCGUGGGUGAAGAAGGCCUGCGGGUUGUAAAGCCCUUUUGUUGGGAAAGAAAAGCAGCAGGUUAAUACCCCGCUGUUCUGACGGUACCCAAAGAAUAAGCACCGGCUAACUUCGU